GACGAACGCUGGCGGCGUGCUUAACACAUGCAAGUCGAACGAGCAUCUUCGGGUGCUAGUGGCGAACGGGUGAGUAACACGUGAGCAACCUGCCCUUGGCUCUGGGAUAGCCUCCGGAAACGGGGAUUAAUACCGGACAUGACCCUUCUCCGCAUGGUGGGGGGUGGAAAGUUUUUCGGCCAGGGAGGGGCUCGCGGCCUAUCAGCUUGUUGGGGGGGUAACGGCCCACCAAGGCGACGACGGGUAGCCGGCCUGAGAGGGCGACCGGCCACACUGGGACUGAGACACGGCCCAGACUCCUGCGGGAGGCAGCAGUGGGGAAUAUUGCACAAUGGGCGGAAGCCUGAUGCAGCGACGCCGCGUGCGGGAUGAAGGCCUUCGGGUUGUAAACCGCUUUCACCACAGACGAAGCGCAAGUGACGGUAUGUGGGGAAGAAGCGCCGGCUAACUACGUGCCAGCAGCCGCCGUAAGAC
rnacentral:rRNA from 1 species